rnacentral:rRNA from 1 species
AACGAACGCUGGCGGCAGGCCUAACACAUGCAAGUCGAGCGCCCCGCAAGGGGAGCGGCGGACGGGUGGGUAACACGUGGGAAUUUUCCUCAAGGUACGGAACAACUCAGGGAAACUUGGGCUAAUACCGUAUGAUGCAGAGAUGCCAAAGAUUUAUCGCCUUGGGAUAAGCCCGCGUCAGAUUAGGUAGUUGGUGGGGUAAUGGCCUACCAAGCCUGUGAUCUGUAGCUGGUCUGAGAGGACGAUCAGCCACAUUGGGACUGAGACACGGCCCAAACUCCUACGGGAGGCAGCAGUGGGGAAUCUUGCGCAAUGGACGAAAGUCUGACGCAGCCAUGCCGCGUGAAUGAUGAAGGUCUUAGGAUUGUAAAGUUCUUUAGCCUGUGACGAUGAUAACGGUAACAGGAGAAUAAGCCCCGGCUAACUUCGUG